UACGAAGGGGGCUAGCGUUGCUCGGAAUGACUGGGCGUAAAGGGCGCGUAGGCGGAUGGCUUUGUCGGGCGUGAAAUUCCAGGGCUCAACCUUGGGGCUGCGUUCGAGACGGGCGAUCUUGAGUUCGGAAGAGGGUCGUGGAAUUCCCAGUGUAGAGGUGAAAUCGUAGAUAUUGGGAAGAACACCAGGCGGAAAGCGCG
rnacentral:rRNA from 1 species